rnacentral:rRNA from 1 species
GACGUAGGGCGCGAGCGUUGUCCGGAUUUAUUGGGCGUAAAGAGCUCGUAGGCGGUCUGUCGCGUCGGUCGUGAAAACUUGGGGCUUAACCCUGAGCUUGCGGUCGAUACGGGCAUGACUGGAGUUCGGUAGGGGAGACUGGAAUUCCUGGUGUAGCGGUGAAAUGCGCAGAUAUCAGGAGGAACACCGGUGGCGAAGGCGGAUCUCUGGGCCUGUUCUGACGCUGAGGCGCGAAAGCUAGGGGAGCGAGCAGG